UUCACUGCUUCAGGUUGUGGGUUCAAAUCCCGCUUCUGACACUCGGUGGGCAAAUCACUUCACCCGCCUGUGCCUCAAUUGGAAAAUUAAUUGGACAUUAAGGAGUGCAAGUUCAUGUUGGAUCACAUUUAGUCGUGUUGGGUAUUUUAUGUUGUUGUUAAUUGGAGGUUACCCAGUAAACAUCUGGAGCAAUGAUAGAGCCAGGGGGGCUACAGAGGAUGAUUGGCAUAGCAGUAGGUGCCCAUAAAAGACAAUCACUCCGUUUUUGGGUGAACAAUGUGGUACUGUGAUGCCAGGCUUUGCACUUCAGUGCAUCUGGUUAUGAGUUCAAAUCCCACUUCUGACACCCGGUGGGCAAAUCACUUCACCCGCCUGUGCCUUAAUUGGAAAAUUAAUUGGAUCUUAAGGAGUGCAAGUUCACCUCAGAUUAUAUUUAGUCGUGUCGGGCAUUUUAUGUUGUUGUUAAUUGGGGGUUACCCAGUAAAAAGCAAUGGAGCGAUGAUUGA